AUGAACGCUAGCGGCAGGCUUAACACAUGCAAGUCGAGGGGUAUGCUUCUUCGGAAGCAGAGACCGGCGCACGGGUGCGUAACGCGUAUGCAAUCUACCUUUUACAGAGGGAUAGCCCAGAGAAAUUUGGAUUAAUACCUCAUAGUAUAGCAGUUUCGCAUGAAACCACUAUUAAAGUCACAACGGUAAAAGAUGAGCAUGCGUCCCAUUAGCUAGUUGGUAAGGUAACGGCUUACCAAGGCUACGAUGGGUAGGGG
rnacentral:rRNA from 1 species